AUUCUACUUGGAGUGGAAGGACCAACAC
rnacentral:piRNA from 1 species